AUUGAACGCUGGCGGCAUGCUUUACACAUGCAAGUCGAACGGCAGCGCGGGCUUCGGCCUGGCGGCGAGUGGCGAACGGGUGAGUAAUGCAUCGGAACGUGCCCAGUAGUGGGGGAUAGCCCGGCGAAAGCCGGAUUAAUUCCGCAUACGACCUGAGGGUGAAAGCGGGGGACCGAAAGGCCUCGCGCUAUUGGAGCGGCCGAUGUCGGAUUAGCUAGUUGGUGGGGUAAAGGCUUACCAAGGCGACGAUCCGUAGCUGGUCUGAGAGGACGACCAGCCACACUGGGACUGAGACACGGCCCAGACUCCUACGGGAGGCAGCAGUGGGGAAUUUUGGACAAUGGGGGCAACCCUGAUCCAGCCAUGCCGCGUGCGGGAAGAAGGCCUUCGGGUUGUAAACCGCUUUUGUUCGGGAAGAAAUCCUCUGGGCUAAUACCCCGGGGGGAUGACGGUACCGGAAGAAUAAGCACCGGCUAACUACGUG
rnacentral:rRNA from 1 species